rnacentral:tRNA from 1 species
GCAGACAUAGCUCAGCUGGUUAGAGCGCUGCGUUCACAUCGCAGAGGUCGAGGGUUCGAGUCCCCCUGUCUGUACCA